rnacentral:rRNA from 1 species
AACGAACGCUGGCGGCAGGCUUAACACAUGCAAGUCGAACGCCCCGCAAGGGGAGUGGCAGACGGGUGAGUAACGCGUGGGAAUCUACCCAUCUCUGCGGAAUAGCUCUGGGAAACUGGAAUUAAUACCGCAUACGCCCAACGGGGGACAGAUUUAUCGGGGAUGGAUGAGCCCGCGUUGGAUUAGCUAGUUGGUGGGGUAAAGGCCUACCAAGGCGACGAUCCAUAGCUGGUCUGAGAGGAUGAGCAGCCACAUUGGGACUGAGACACGGCCCAAACUCCUACGGGAGGCAGCAGUGGGGAAUAUUGGACAAUGGGCGCAAGCCUGAUCCAGCCAUGCCGCGUGAGUGAUGAAGGCCUUAGGGUUGUAAAGCUCUUUCACCGAUGAGGAUAAUGACGGUAGUCGGAGAAGAAGCCCCGGCUAACUUCGUGCCAGCCGCCGCUGUAA